rnacentral:lncRNA from 1 species
AGCACUUUUACCUUGAGGGUCCUCUUUUUAUCUCUUUUAUUUGGAGAUUGAGCCUGUAGAUUGUUAGUCAGAAUUUGUGUUUGUUAGAUCCAGCUCUGCAAGUCGGUAGGCCACGUUCUAGCCUUCAUUGUGGAAGAAAUCUCUUUUACUCUUUCGUAUUGAGAUUGUUAGUCAUGGGUGUUAGGCACAGACUUCACCUGUACAGUUGGUCAUAUAGGUGGUGUCUGGAUUCAUAGAUGAUAUGACCUCAUCACAUCAUCUUGGGUGUGCCUCUAUG